CUGCUCAUCAUGUUGCAUCAGCACGAGGGGCUGCGCCAGCCUCUCCUACACAGGGACCAACACACCAAAGUCAUCCUUCUCAUCAUACUCCGAGAUAGGCACGUUCUUUGAAAAGUGAUAACAAAUAGCUGAGUCCUGGGCUGGCCAACGCAGGUGUUAGCAGGAGAUCUUCUGGAUGCUUCGGACAUUUCUGACUAAAGUAGACAGCAAAACAAUCCUCAUUCCCUGAAAACUCUGCAAAGCUCAAAGACAGGUUUCAUUCCGUGAAAAUGCUAGUGUAAACACGAAGAAACAGGGUUCCGCAAGGUCUCCUUACG
rnacentral:lncRNA from 9 species